rnacentral:rRNA from 1 species
AACUGUUGCCUCGGCGGGAUCUCUGCCCCGGGUGCGUCGCAGCCCCGGACCAAGGCGCCCGCCGGAGGACCAACCAAAACUCUUUUUGUAUACCCCCUCGCGGGUUUUUUAUAAUCUGAGCCUUCUCGGCGCCUCUCGUAGGCGUUUCGAAAAUGAAUCAAAACUUUCAACAACGGAUCUCUUGGUUCUGGCAUCGAUGAAGAACGCAGCGAAAUGCGAUAAGUAAUGUGAAUUGCAGAAUUCAGUGAAUCAUCGAAUCUUUGAACGCACAUUGCGCCCGCCAGUAUUCUGGCGGGCAUGCCUGUCCGAGCGUCAUUUCAACCCUCGAACCCCUCCGGGGGGUCGGCGUUGGGGAUCGGCCCUGCCUCUUGGCGGCGGCCGUCUCCGAAAUACAGUGGCGGUCUCGCCGCAGCCUCUCCUGCGCAGUAGUUUGCACACUCGCAUCGGGAGCGCGGCGCGUCCACAGCCGUUAAACACCCAACUUCUGAAAUGUUGACCUCGGAUCAGGUAGGAAUACCCGCUGAACUUAAGCAUA